rnacentral:lncRNA from 1 species
GAAGAGCAGAAUGGUAAUAUCAAAAUCCACGAAAAGGGCAUGUGAACCAUGCACGCCAUAUAAAACCCAAAGGUGGUGUGGUAGCUUCCCCUUCAUUAUCGCUUCAUCCUCUUCUUGCUUUCUAACAAAGUUUAUAUAUACGAGAAUUGAAUUGAAUUGAAGCUGCUCCAAUAUCAAUUAUCAUCAUGACUAAUAACUAUUUAUUAAUUCCGAUCUUCAUCUUCAUCCUCCUUCAACGUCCUGUCCUUGGGAGUUGGGAUUUGUUGAGCGAAUUAUCCGGCAGGGAAGAGUUGGUGCAGUGGGCUGGUUAUGGCGAAGAUAAGCUCUCCACCGUCGUCAUCGCCGGCACUAUUCUUUGCAACGCCGCCGACUUACCUUCGAUCAAUACUCAUCCUGUCUCAGGUGAUUAAGUUUAUUAUUACAUGUGCCUAUUUCUAUAUUGUUGCGCAAUUUUCUGCAAUAAUAAUAAUCAAAUUAAUUCCGCAAUCUAGCUCUGAUGUUGAAUUUGACAAGAGAGUUAUUCGUUGCGGAAAUUUAUUUUUACUUAGCUAGUAGCCUUAAAGAAAAGGUUUUGUUGGUUGAUAUUACUAUAUAUUAUAUGCACCUGCAACUUUCAUGUCUGGUAAUCAGAUACACUACAAAGUAUAAAGUGCGUCUCUCCAACUGAUCCGCUUGCUGUAAGGAGUAGGAGAAGUCCCUUUUUUAAAAAUAUAAAUCCCAUUUUUAGUUUUCUAUUUGUUUAUUAUGAUUUAUGAAUUAGUUAAAACCUCAAGCCAAAAUAUGCAUGGCACCACAAACCUCAAACACAGAUACGCUUUCCUUCAUUUCUUAUACUAAUCUCUCUCAUCAAUCCACCACAAUUUUCCAAGCUUGAUCAUUCUACCACAAUAUAUGCUGCAUAUGUUUAAUUAAUUAUUUUUAUAUCUUAUUUAUAUAUNUAUUAAAGUUCAUAUAUUUUAAUAAAAAAAUUGAAAAUUCAUGUUAAAAAUUUGAAAUUAGAGAAAAAAUGAUUAUUUAAACAAUAAUAUAGAUAACAUAAUUUUAAGGCUCCAUCUUGGAUCAAUAAAAGCUUCAACAAGAACAUUAUAUGAUCAAUUACUUAUGUUUCAAAAAAACAAUGAACUGAAAUGGUAAAAUGGCCCAUGUGCCUAAAAUAGAUUUUCUUGAUAAUAAUCCUAUUUUUUAGUAUUCUAAUCCUAUUUUUUAGUGUUCUAAGGGUUCGUUUUUAAAUGAAAAAGUGCGGAAAAUAUUAUUUUUUAAUUUUUCUAUUUUUCACUAUUUCACAUGUUUUUUAACAUGAAUAAUUUUUACUUUAAAAGGAUAAUUAUUUUUUGUGGGGGGGGGGGGAUAGCCCGUUUUUCUUCCUUUUCAUUUCAAUUCAUGAUAAUAUUAUAAUAAGAUAUUGGUGUGAUGAUUUUUUUUUUCCAAAUGAUAAUUUUUUAUCAUCUUUUCCUAUUCAUUAUUUUUUUAUGAUAAAUUAUUAAUUAAAGAAAACACAUCCUAAUUAGGAAAAGAAAAAAAUAUGAAGGAGACAAAACUAAACAGAGUCGCUUAGCAAGAGACAACCUUGUUGGUGCAUAUCGUAAAUGGAGUCACUCAAAUGGAAAAAGGGAGUAGAUCACUAACUCUAUCAUCCAAUACCGUAGUCCUAGAAGAUGAUGCAUGAUCAGCUCUCACUUUUGUAAUUCAUGAAUAAAAAAUUAUUAAUUAUAUUUAAGUUAGUUAAUAAUAAAAGAUAUAUUAAAAUUUUAAUUGAUUGAUGUAUAUAAUUGUAAUGGGAGAAGCCAAAUUUCGUAUGGAUUUUGCAUAUAAAUAUAUAGUUAGGGAUGGUUUGACAAAUUGAGUAAAGUUGUAAUGCUAGUUUACCGAAGGUGAGAGACGUGGAUCGAUGGGUUCAUACUUCAAAUAUUGAGACUAUAUUAUUAUAAGUAAUUCGUAGGAGGUAAGAUUAGGCUACCUACUAAAACAGUUAGCCUUCCAUUUCCUAACUUCCAACUUUUUUCUCUAUCUAUACCAUUUCGUAAAACCCACAAGAAAAAAACAUUUUUUUUUUUAAGUUGACAAAACCUUUUUACCUUAGACUAGUAUUGAAUUGACUAGUACACGCCUUCUGAAAGAACCAAUACUUCCACCUUGAUUGCAUUUGAAGUAAAAAAAAAAUUGAAGAUACAAUAGUAAUAAGAGGUGGUUGAAAUUUUUCUUGACCCAGUUAAUUAAUAAAUAAAUUAUUCUCCAUAUAUUUAGAAACUCAUUAUCAAUAUUAAUUAGCAAGUGGAUUGGUUGUGCAAAAUUAAUAAAAAUUGUAUAAUUGAAUUAAUAUAAUGAAAAAAUAUAUAUUAGUAUAAGUUGGGGGGGCAAACAUGAAAUGAGAGUUUGGUGAAGAGCAGAAUGGUAAUAUCAAAAUCCACGAAAAGGGCAUGUGAACCAUGCACGCCAUAUAAAACCCAAAGGUGGUGUGGUAGCUUCCCCUUCAUUAUCGCUUCAUCCUCUUCUUGCUUUCUAACAAAGUUUAUAUAUACGAGAAUUGAAUUGAAUUGAAUUGAAGCUGCUCCAAUAUCAAUUAUCAUCAUGACUAAUUAUUUAUUAAUUCCGAUCUUCAUCUUCAUCCUCCUUCAACGUCGACCUGUCCUUGGGAGUUGGGAUUUGUUGAGCGAAUUAUCCGGCAGGGAAGAGUUGGUGCAGUGGGCUGGUUAUGGCGAAGAUAAGCUCUCCACCGUCGUCAUCACCGGCACUAUUCUUUGCAACGCCGCCGACUUACCUUCGAUCAAUACUCAUCCUGUCUCAG